rnacentral:sRNA from 1 species
CGCGCUGUCUUGGGGGAGUAGCCGCCGCGCUUGAUUGACGCGGGCCCGCCGUCAACAGACUUGGCCAGCCGUCGCUGCGACGGCAUCCACGGCCAUGGCGCGGGCAACCUAUACGGUCUGGCAAGACUCAUGACUCUUCACCCUGUAGCGGGCCGCGCGGGGUGGACGAGUCAUGAACGUCGCGCGGCCCCU